CUCUAGCUCUCUAAUCUCUCACUUGUGUAGGACGUGAUGCCAAAUCUGCUUGAUAAUCGCACGUAUGAGGAAUUAGUCUUUAGAAAUGAUGCACUUAGUAGUUGCCAAACGUAGAACCGAACUGCAGAUCCUCUUGCCGUGACGCGGAUUUACUUUGCAGGCCUAAAUUUAAGACCCGCUCUGACUCAGACGCACGUAUAAUGUGAGGAGUACAGAUGUCAUCAGGCCCACUAGCUCUGUGACUGUGAAGCCCGUAGAGCUCCCGCUUUACCUGGACGAUGGUGAAGUCCCGCGAUGACCGAGUGAAAGAUGUCGCUAGCGCUCUUCGACACAGCCCACGGAGGGACGUAAACAACUACAGCAGUGGAGUAGGAGAACUCCCACGCUAGAUGAAAUUCUUCAACUCCUGACUUCCUGACUACAUGUCCGCUGGAUCCAAUUCCUUGCGCUCUGUUCUAGACAAUCGCAAAAGAUCUGCUUCCUUUCGUCUCUGUCAUCGUCAACAACUGCUUAUCUUCUGGAUACGUGCCUACUGCAUUCAAAACCGCCAGGGUGGUACCGAUUCUCUUGGUGAUGUAAUAUCUG